rnacentral:rRNA from 1 species
GGUUGACCUCGGAUUAGGUAGGAU